AGCCAAUGAUGAACUCUUUAAAAUUUCUGACACCUCGUAUGAAAACUGCUCGCAGUUUCUGAUUACUGAUGUCAACUGAGGCUU